GUGCUUGCUCCAGCAGCACAUAUUCUAAAACUGGCACAAUACAGAGAAGAUUCGCACGGCCCCUAAACAAGGAUGACACGCAAAUCUGUAAAGCAUUUCAUAGUUUA